GACGAACGCUGGCGGCGUGCUUAACACAUGCAAGUCGAACGGAAAGGCCCUGCUUUUGUGGGGUGCUCGAGUGGCGAAAGGGUGAGUAACACGUGAGUAACCUGCCCUUGACUUUGGGAUAACUUCAGGAAACUGGGGCUAAUACCGGAUAGGAGCUCCUGCUGCAUGGUGGGGGUUGGAAAGUUUCGGCGGUUGGGGAUGGACUCGCGGCUUAGCAGCUUGUUGGUGGGGUAGUGGCUUACCAAGGCUUUGACGGGUAGCCGGCCUGAGAGGGUGACCGGCCACAUUGGGACUGAGAUACGGCCCAGACUCCUACGGGAGGCAGCAGUGGGGAAUAUUGCACAAUGGGCGGAAGCCUGAUGCAGCAACGCCGCGUGCGGGAUGACGGCCUUCGGGUUGUAAACCGCUUUCGCCUGUGACGAAGCGUGAGUGACGGUAAUGGGUAAAGAAGCACCGGCUAACUACGUG
rnacentral:rRNA from 1 species